CUACAUUAGCUCACUUAAGGAGCACCUGACUUCAGGUCAGGCCAAAGUUGGGUGAGAUCCCCAACAUGUAAU
rnacentral:tRNA from 2 species